CCGGCAGUCCUAAAUACACCUUGCUUUGGGUGUCAGCUGCAGGCUCAAGUGAAAGAUGUGGGAAAGGCUAGGGCCUGCUCCAAACCCAAGAAAACUGUGCUACUGGUGGAAGCUAGUCUUCUAAACCCUGAAGCCAGCCCUGCCAGCCAGAGGGUUCUCUUGCUCUUUGCUGACCUUUUUCUUAGCCGAAAUAUAAUAGAUGAUAAUGUUUUUUAUCAAGUUUCCAUGGGGGGGAAAAAGACUACCUCUUGAGUGACAUCCUGGUUGAUUCCUCUCUUGAGGAGUCCUGUGGGAAAAGACUGCUGUAGCUCCCGUGCUGUUUACAUGUUUCUGUCGGGAACAAAACCCUGGACUGUUGUGUUUUUGUCUGUGCUGCCAUCCCAGGCCUGUGAUAGGAGCUUGUGGCUGUAUUGUAAUGUCUGGGCAGUGUCUGGGGAGUCCUUUCCACCUGCCCAGCUAGGGACAGGCCAUGGCUGCUAGACGAGGCCUGUACCCCCCUUCCUAUGCUCCAUAGCUUGGAUUUCAGGGACUCUGAUGGCAAGUGAGUGCGUCGUGAACCUACCUCAGGCUACCUCCCAGUCCUCCCACAGUUCUGUGUAGGAAUCGAAUGAAUGGAUGUCUCUGAGCCCUUGUUCCCAAAGGGCCGGCCAAGGGCUGCCUGCCAGCCUGGCUCCAUCAACCCUGCAUGACCAAAUGAUAGUUGGCGGGCUCUGCAGGCUGCUCAGGCCCUCUGCUACCUCCCACACUUGCCUGCUGGCAAGAAGUGGGCCCUGUUCUGUGAAUUGACUACCUGUGGAAAUGUGACCAAUUAGUAUGAAAUGCAUGUUUAGCAAGUGUUAGGUACUGUAUUUGAACCAAUAAAUGUGAAUCCUCUGCACAUGC
rnacentral:lncRNA from 1 species